CCUCAUGGUAUGUCUACAUGUUUAUCAGCUGAUAAAUAUCGACACUAAUUGGUGUGAAUUGUUGAAUGUGCACUGGAUAAUUGGUCUUUAUAUUCAAUAUGAAACAAUAACCUGCGGCAUCUUAAGAUUAUCGCCAAUCAUAUCAACAGCUUGGUUAUGAAAUGGACGACUUUACGAUACAGAAUCACAUAGCCCUCAAACCAAAUCUUUGGCAUUAACCAAGCAAGCAGAAGCAGCCCAUUGGAAUGUGGUUCUGAUGUCACUGUCAUGCCACUAACUUAGAUUUUAUGAAAACAUUGCUGACCAAAUUAGCCUGGAAAAUGUUAUUCUUAUAGCUACUGAGCUGCAAGCUUUUAUGAUCAGUUUUAAAGUGAUUAAAAUGUAGCUACCUAAAUAAAGUUGGAUAUACAUGUAGUUUAUGUUUUUUUCUAAAUAUCUCAUGCCUUUUUAAGGUGUUUCAUAUAUGAACUAAUGCUAUAAAUAAGUCUGACAAUUGAAUUCUGGUUAUUUUGCAGUACCAUUUGCCUUCUUGAAAAUAAAAUACAGGCACGCAAUUUUCGCCGCGAAAAAUUGGCUCAAAGAAAAAAUCUGCCAGUGCUAGCCCUG